GCCAGGCACAGUGGCACAUGUCUAUAGUUCUAGCUACUCAGGAGGCUGAGACAAGAGGAUCACUUGAACCCAGGAGUUCUGUGCUAUAGCGUGCUAAAGCUGAUCAGGUGCCCCCACUAAGUAUGGCAUAUCAAUAUAGUGACCACUCAAAGCAGUGGGGAACCACCCAAGUUGCCCAAGGAGGGGUGAUCCAGCCCAGAUUAGAAACAGAGCAGGUCAAAACUCUCAUAUGCCUGUGAAUAUAGCCACUGCACUCCACCCUGGGCAACAGAUCAGGACCCUGCCUCU
ensembl:misc_RNA Metazoa_SRP Metazoan signal recognition particle RNA